rnacentral:lncRNA from 1 species
UUUCUUGCCCUUUUUGGAGGUUUAAGGUCUUCUGCCAGUGUGUAAAUUAUAUAUUAUUAAGAUGCUCUGUGUGAACUGUUCUACAUGUAGAUUUCUUUUUUUUUUAUGUGUUUGUGGGAGAAGGUGAGUGCCAUAUCUUACUCCUCUGCCAUCUUGAUCCCGCCUCACUCCCAAUACCCGUUCAUGAUUAAAAAAUCACUCAGCAAGCUGCAAAGAAUGUAUAAGUUUUGAUGAAUCCCUUCUUUUAAAUUUAUUCAUACAAAAUCUACAAAACAUUAUUGAAAAACUGAAGAUGAUCUAGAUAAAUAGAACAACAUCUUGUGCUCUUAAAUUGGAAGAUUCAACUUGUUAAGACCAAAAUACUCCCCAAAUUGGUUGUUAGAUUCACAGAGAUCCCUUUCAAAAUUUCAAUUGCUUUUCUUAAAGGUGUGUACAAGCUGAUACUAAAUUAUUAUAGAAAUAGCCACAGCAACACGGGAUCCGAGCCAUGUCUGCAACCUACACCACAGCUCAUGGCAAUGCAGGAUCCUUAACCUACUGAGCGAGGCCAGGGACCAAACCCGCAACCUCAUGGUUCCUAGUCGGAUUGUUUCCACUGCGCCAUGAUGGGAACUUCCUGAAAUAAGACCAUUUUGGAAAAUCAGUGGCAGUGCCACUUCGGUAUUUGAGUUGAGUUCCCAUCGUGGCGUAGUGGUUAACGAAUCCGACUAGGAACCAUGAGGUUGCGGGUUUGGUCCCUGGCCUUGCUCAGUGGGUUAAGGAUCCGACGUUGCCGUGAGCUGUGGUGUAGAUCGCAGACUCGGCUCAGAUCUGGCGUUGCUGUGGCUGUGGUGUAGGUCGGCAGCUGUGGGAUCCGAUUAAACCCCUAGCCUGGGAACCUCCACAUGCCGCUAGUGCGGCCCUGAAAAGACAAAGAUAAAAUAAAAUUAAAUUAAAAAAUCUUAUUUCAAUUUAAAUCUUAUGACUUCUGGAAAAUUUAGGGUAUGCAAAAAUGUUUCAGAAUUCUUGUGUUUAUGUAUUAAGUGAUCGUGUUAGGGUUCAGAUGUUUAAAAAUUGGUUUUUCACUUAUGUGUUUGUCUGAUAGAGUGUUCAAAAGCCACGCGGGAUGGAAGCCAAUUCUCUUUUGUGUGGGAAUCCCCCAUUCAGGGCAGGACAUCAAACAUCCCUGCCUCCUGUCAAAUAAAUGUAAAUAGCAAUAAAUAUAAAGAUGUGGUUUGUAUUUGUUUGCCUGCUUCUUGAGAUCAAUGAAAAGUGACUCUGGAGACACAGCUCCUAGCAAAAAUUGAUUUGGAAAAUUUGAAGGGCUGCUGAUGUCUCAGAUUAAAAUCUCAUUAAUUUAAGAUAAAAGGGCUUAAAUACAGGAUUUAAAAAUUAAUAGUGUGCUAUUAUUAAGGAGGAGUAGCUGAAGAAUAACAGCUGCUUACCAAUAUUGACUUAAUUACAGUUUAUUAUAAUCAGUUCUGGCACUAGCAGCUUAUAAAACCUUCUAUUGACAACUUUUAAAAGAACAAUGAAAAUCCCAAAGGGCUGCAUUUCCCUUUGAAUUAAAGUGCCCAUGGUAAAAAUUUGACUAAAGUAAAAUUUACUUAAUAUGUAAAUAUUUAUUCCUUCGCACAACUAUUGUCCCUUUCCCCAAGAAAAUUAUUUGAAAUCUAAAUAGAAAUCUGUAGACUUCGUUAUGAUUUUCCAGCAUACUUUGAAACAUUGAGUGAGUCAUGUUGGUUUGGAGGAGAUUCCAACUCAAUAAUGCAAUUUACCAUAUUUUAAUUUUGGCAAAGAAUGUUCACCCUGUUAUUUGAAAAAGACAAUAUUGUCAGUUCUAUCCUUAGCACUGACAUAGAACUCUCAAUUCUUUUAGGUCAGUAUCUUAAUAGAAAAAUCUAGCAAAAAAAUAUAUGAGCGAAAUAAUUCAUUGACUUAUAGUAAGAUCUGCCGUAUUUAAAUCAACAAUACAAGAAAUACCAAGGGACUUAUAUCUAAUUGAUUUAUACUCAAACUGUUACAUAAUAAGAGAAGCAAACUUGUGAAGGGAAUAUUAUAAGGACAAAAUAUGGUCAGUGCAGGGACUGAGCUUAAAGAAGAUGACUCAGAAAACUUUUUGUGGUAAUGGAAAUGUUCUAAACCUUUGUUGCAGUGAUGCUUAUAUACAUCUGGAAAAAUCAUACAACUACACAUCUAAAAAGAGUGAGUUUUACUAUAUACAAUAAUAACUUAAAAAGACAGUUUAGGGGGAGGAUGCACUUGCUGGAGUUUGCUCAAUGACUCAACACUAUCAGGGCUAGUUUUGUGUUAUGACUUUUGUGGUUAUUCAAUAGAAGUCUAUACAGCCUACGAGAUGCAGCUAAAGCAGUGCUUCAGGAGAGAUAUACAGCCCCAAAUGUGUCUUUUAAAGAAGAAAUACUAAAAAUUAAUAAAUCAAAAACAUCUCUCAAGGGAUUAGAAAACUAACAGCAAAAUAAAUGUAAAAAUAAUAGAAGGAAAUAAUCAAGAAGAGAUUCAUCAAAAGAAUCAGCAAAGCCGAAGUUAGUUAUUUGAGAACAAAAAUAAAAUUGAUAAACUUCUAUUGAGAUUAAUUUUCUUACAAAAAGAAAGAGGAGGAGAAAAUACUUAAUAUCAGUUUCUCCAGAGGUUAUAUAAUGUUUUACAGCCAAAAAAAAGUUCUUAUUGGAGACUGAGAAGAGCUAGAAUAGAAUGCGAGAGUUUUCUCCUAGUUAAACUGUGGGGAGGUAUAUCUCCUCCUAAAUCAAAUCCUUGUUUAUUCAUUUGUCCCUCUAAGUGCCCAAGGAUUUGGAUAGUCUGCCUAUCUUUCUAAUCAGCUGUGUUAGAACAAGCUAAGUAAUGCUAUAAUAACAACCAAAAUCUCAGAAGGUUAAAACACCAAAUGUUUAUUUCUUGUUCAUGUUACAUGCCCAUUUCAGCUUGCAUUGUCCUUGUCCUUACUCUAAACUCCAGGCUGGAAAAGCAGCUUCCAGGUAGAGGACUCCCUAUCACAAUGGUAGAGGGAAAAGAAAGAAUAGCUACAGUGAGAAUGGUGUCCUAGGGCUGCAGCCUGGAGGUCACAAAGAACAUUUUUCAUCCAUAUUUUAUUAGCCAGUGCAAAUCACUUGGUACAGCCUAACUUCAAUUAUGCAAGGAAAUAUAAUCUUUCACCAAUGAGUGAAAAAUAUAUCGAGGAACAUAACACAGUCUAAUACAGCAGACAUUCAAUGAAAUUUUCCUCUCCUCCUUGACAUAAUACACUCUCUGCUGAAACUCAGAUGAACAUAAAAC